rnacentral:rRNA from 1 species
UUGAACGCUGGCGGCAUGCCUUACACCUGCAAGUCGAACGGCAGCACGGGUGCUUGCACCUGGUGGCGCGUGGCGAACGGGUGAGUAAUACAUCGGAACAUGUCCUGUAGUGAGGGAUAGCCCGGCGAAAGCCGGAUUAAUACCGCAUACGAUCUACGGAUGAAAGCGGGGGACCUUCGGGCCUCGCGCUAUAGGGUUGGCCGAUGGCUGAUUAGCUAGUUGGUGGGGUAAAGGCCUACCAAGGCGACGAUCAGUAGCUGGUCUGAGAGGACGACCAGCCACACUGGGACUGAGACACGGCCCAGACUCCUACGGGAGGCAGCAGUGGGGAAUUUUGGACAAUGGGCGAAAGCCUGAUCCAGCAAUGCCGCGUGUGUGAAGAAGGCCUUCGGGUUGUAAAGCACUUUUGUCCGGAAAGAAAUCCUUGGCUCUAAUACAGUCGGGGGAUGACGGUACCGGAAGAAUAAGCACCGGCUAACUACGUG